rnacentral:rRNA from 1 species
AGCGAGGGAAUGGUAUGAAUUUUUCGGAAGGAUUACCAAGACCGAGCGGCGGAUGGGUGAGUAACACGUAGGGAACCUACCAAACAGACGGGGAUACCACUUGGAAACAAGUGCUAAUACCGGAUAAACAACAAUAUCGCAUGAUAUAGUGAGGAAAGGCGGCGAAAGCUGUCGCUGAUUGAUGGACCUGCGGCGUAUUAGCUAGUUGGGGAGGUAAAGGCUCACCAAGGCGAUGAUACGUAGCCGACCUGAGAGGGUAAACGGCCACAUUGGGACUGAGACACGGCCCAAACUCCUACGGGAGGCAGCAGUAGGGAAUUUUCCACAAUGGACGAAAGUCUGAUGGAGCAACGCCGCGUGAGUGAAGAAGGUUUUCGGAUUGUAAAGCUCUGUUGUUAAAGAAGAAGGGUAUGUAGAGUAACUGAUAUAUACUUGACGGUAUUUAACGAGGAAGUCACGGCUAACUACGUG